rnacentral:rRNA from 1 species
UACGUAGGGACCAAGCGUUGUUCGGAUUUACUGGGCGUAAAGGGCGCGUAGGCGGCUUGUCAAGUCACUUGUGAAAUCUCUGGGCUUAACCCAGAACGGCCAAGUGAAACUGACAUGCUAGAGUGCAGAAGGGCAAUCGGAAUUCUUGGUGUAGCGGUGAAAUGCGUAGAUAUCGGGAGGAACACCCAUGGCGAAGGCAGCUCUCUGGGUUCACCUGACACUGAGGCGCGAAAGCGUGGGGAGCGAACGGGG